CAGGAGAAGCUUGCUUCUUGCUGACGAGUGGCGGACGGGUGAGUAACGCGUAGGAAUCUACCCAGAAGUGGGGGACAACGUGGGGAAACCCACGCUAAUACCACAUAAGCCCCACGGGGGUAAAGCAGGGGAUCUUCGGACCUUGCGCUUUUGGAUGAGCCUGCGUUGGAUUAGCUAGCUGGAGAGGUAAUGGCUCCCCAAGGCGACGAUCCAUAGCUGUUCUGAGAGGAAGAUCAGCCACACUGGGACUGAGACACGGCCCAGACUCC
rnacentral:rRNA from 1 species